GACAGAGGGUGCAAACGUUGUUCGGAAUUACUGGGCGUAAAGCGCGUGUAGGCGGUCAUGCAAGUCGGGUGUGAAAGCCCAGGGCUCAACCCUGGAAGUGCACUCGAAACUGCAAGACUUGAAUCUCGGAGAGGGUAGCGGAAUUCUGGGUGUAGAGGUGAAAUUCGUAGAUAUCCAGAGGAACACCGGUGGCGAAGGCGGCUACCUGGACGAGUAUUGACGCUGAGACGCGAAAGCGUGGGGAGCAAACAGG
rnacentral:rRNA from 1 species